ACAUACGCGUAGAGUUUGAUCAUGGCUCAGAUUGAACGCUGGCGGCAUGCUUUACACAUGCAAGUCGAACGGCAGCGCGGAAUGGGGUAACCCGGCCUGGCGGCGAGUGGCGAACGGGUGAGUAAUAUAUCGGAACGUACCCUGGAGUGGGGGAUAACGUAGCGAAAGUUACGCUAAUACCGCAUACGAUCUAAGGAUGAAAGUGGGGGAUUCGCAAGAACCUCAUGCUCCUGGAGCGGCCGAUAUCUGAUUAGCUAGUUGGUAGGGUAAAGGCCUACCAAGGCAUCGAUCAGUAGCUGGUCUGAGAGGACGACCAGCCACACUGGAACUGAGACACGGUCCAGACUCCUACGGGAGGCAGCAGUGGGGAAUUUUGGACAAUGGGCGCAAGCCUGAUCCAGCAAUGCCGCGUGAGUGAAGAAGGCCUUCGGGUUGUAAAGCUCUUUUGUCAGGGAAGAAACGGCCUGUCCUAAUACGGUGGGCUAAUGACGGUACCUGAAGAAUAAGCACCGGCUAACUACGGUGCCAGGCAGCCGCGGUAAU
rnacentral:rRNA from 1 species